ACGGUUACCUUGUUACGACUUCACCCCAGUCACCGGACCUGCCUUCGGCAGCUCCCCCCUUGCGGUUGGGCCGCUGACUUCGGGCAUUUCCGGCUCCCAUGGUGUGACGGGCGGUGUGUACAAGACCCGGGAACGUAUUCACCGCGGCAUUCUGAUCCGCGAUUACUAGCGAUUCCGGCUUCGUGCAGCCGGGUUGCAGGCUGCAGUCCGAACUGGGGCGCCAUUUCUGGGGUCUGCUCCGCCUCGCGGCUUUGCCUCCCUCUGUCUGCGCCAUUGUAGCACGUGUGUAGCCCAGGCCAUAAGGGGCAUGAUGAUUUGACGUCAUCCCCGCCUUCCUCCGGGUUGUCCCCGGCAGUCUCCCCGGAGUGCCCGGCACUGCCCGCUGGCUACUGGGGACAGGGGUUGCGCUCGUUGCGGGACUUAACCCAACAUCUCACG
rnacentral:rRNA from 1 species